rnacentral:rRNA from 1 species
ACUCCUACGGGAGGCAGCAGUGGGGAAUAUUGGACAAUGGGCGCAAGCCUGAUCCAGCCAUGCCGCGUGAGUGACGAAGGCCUUAGGGUUGUAAAGCUCUUUUGGCGGGGACGAUAUUGACGGUACCCGCAGAAUAAGCUCCGGCUAACUUCGUGCCAGCAGCCGCGGUAAU